rnacentral:rRNA from 1 species
UCUACGGGUGGCUGCAGUGGGGAAUAUUGGACAAUGGGCGAAAGCCUGAUCCAGCCAUGCCGCGUGUGUGAAGAAGGCCUUCGGGGUGUAAAGCACUUUCAGUGGGGAAGAAAGCCUUGGGGCUAAUACCCUCGAGGAAGGACAUCACCCACAGAAGAAGCACCGGCUAACUCCGUGCCAGCAGCCGCGGUAAUACGGAGGGUGCGAGCGUUAAUCGGAAUUACUGGGCGUAAAGCGCGCGUAGGCGGUCUGAUAAGCCGGUUGUGAAAGCCCCGGGCUCAACCUGGGAACGGCAUCCGGAACUGUCAGGCUAGAGUGCAGGAGAGGAAGGUAGAAUUCCCGGUGUAGCGGUGAAAUGCGUAGAGAUCGGGAGGAAUACCAGUGGCGAAGGCGGCCUUCUGGACUGACACUGACGCUGAGGUGCGAAAGCGUGGGUAGCAAACAGGAUUAGAUACCCCAGUAGUC